UUUCGUAGGUUGUUUUUCUUCAAACAAAAACAAACUACAAAAAUGGAAGCUUGUUGUGGCAUGGAUCAUUGCAUCACGGAGUUCAAAUCGUUGGUAGUAAUUCUACCUAAAUUAGUGGUUAUUUUCAAAAGAUUUGUUGCUUAAACAAACGAGUCCUGAUAUUUGAAAAGGAGCCAGGAAUUAAUAUCUAUACUAUGUGCAAGAACAUAACACCUUUUCGGAUGGUCGGAUUACAUAAUCUCCUGACUAAAAUAUUUCUGUUAGAGUUUGUUCCCAAAAUUCUAACUAAAUUGUUUUGCCGUUCGAAGAACGAUCAUUCCCAUGGAAUAUAAUUUAAAAAAUACGAGAAAGGCAAAACAAGAAAGAUGUAGGAAAAUCUGCAACAGAAAAAAAAAUCCGCAUCCGGAAAAUCCGCAUUUCUAUCGUUGGGUCGCUGCAGGCGAUGUUCUUUUUACGCUUCUAUACUAGACAAAGUCGCAGACGCCAAACGAUUGAAUCGCGCCGCAUGUAUUUGGGAGCACAUUUAUACCCCUUUGAAGUGACUGGGUCUGUGCGACUUGUACACGAGAUUGUAGCUACCGAAGCAGUAGUCCGCUAGAUGAAGUGAAAACACUACACCUCAUUACAUCAUCGGACCUAACCACGGGUCAGCAGAAAUGUUUUUAUGUGCAAAAUGCGUUGUAAAUAAGUGUACAGUGAGUAUUUUCCAUUAGCAAGAUCAAUAUAUUUUGUGAAAAGCGACAAAUAAAAAAGUGGAUGAUUACAUGAA